UACGGGGGGGGGCAAGCGUUGUUCGGAAUUACUGGGCGUAAAGGGUGCGUAGGUGGCGAGGUAAGUCGGAUGUGAAAGCUCGGAGCUCAACUCCGAAAUGGCAUUGGAAACUACCUUGCUCGAGGGUUGGAGGGGGGACUGGAAUACUUGGUGUAGCAGUGAAAUGCGUAGAUAUCAAGUGGAACACCAGUGGCGAAGGCGAGUCCCUGGACAACUCCUGACACUGAGGCACGAAAGCUAGGGGGAGCAAACAGG
rnacentral:rRNA from 1 species